GUUCCAGCUCCUUGACUGUGUGUAAGUCUUACUAGGAGAUCCGUAAGUGAAAAACUGUAUGAGUGAAUGGAAGUUGGGAAAAACAAGAAUAUAAGUUUUCAGUAGUUUUGAAUAGCUUAACCUGACACCACCAUUCACUUAUUUAAAACAUUUAUUGAGUACCUUCCGUUUUCUGGAUACUUACUAAUAUUGAGGAUUUAAAAGGAUAAGGAUGAUAGGAUUCCUGUAUUUAAGUUCCUAAUUAUGUGAAGUGAUUGUUACAGUGAAUGGUAUAAAGUGCUCAAUAAAUAUUCGAUGCUUUCCGAUUUUAUGUGUUAAUUAAGAACUCUGAAAUAUUUGCGUCACAGAACGUAGAUGUGUAUUUCACUUAAGAAUUUUCUGUGUGGCAGCAUAUCUUUCCAUGUAGAAUUUUUUGAAAAGAAUUCAGUGUACGCAAGUUCACCAAUGGCGUCUUACCAUUUGUGUGUUUUUUUUCUCUCUCAUCUCCUUACUUCUUUUUAAGGCUCCAGGGUAGUUGCCUCAGCUGUUUUCUUUCAUUUCCCUCUCUCUCUGCUCCGUCAUCCACAGUGAAUACCUCAUGAUUUAAAAGGCUGCCGGAGUUCCGGCCAUCUUGUCUAUAUUCCAGGCAUCAGUAAGAAGAAAAGAGGAGGGAGGGCAAAACAUUGUGUCCUUGGCAGACCUGUCCACACCUGCCACUUACAUAUUUCUGACUGUCUCUCACCGCCAGUAAAUCUGGAUGAUGCUGUCUUAACUGAGCACAUCGAUGUAUGGGAUAAAAUUGGGGAAAAUGUGUAUGUGGGAUAGAACUGCUGUUUUCCCAGAAUCCUGUUCUUGUCACUCAUUUUUGGAUAAUCCUUCUUUCAAUCAGUAUUUAUAUGUAGUUGGAAAGAGGGGGAACAAAUACCACUUUUCUAUCUACUGUGUGGGCCUCUUGAAUACUAGAGGUUUUCAUUAGGUAUACCUUUUUCCUUCAGUUCUGAAUGUAUGCUUUCUUUUUUUUUUACCUCUUAUUUCUGAAAUCAGGGUGUCUCACAAUCGAUGAGUACGUUUUUGUUUGUCUGCUUUUCUCCAAAAAGCUAUUACUAAAUUCAUGGCACGUCUUAGAAACAAUGCUGAAUAUACAUGAAGAGUGUAGUUACAUUGCUGUUUCCCCUUUUAACUAUUCUUUAUUACUGCUUGCUUUUCUUUUUUUGAUUGUCUUUUAAGUAUUUUUUUUCGGUUCCAUAGACAUUUAUUGGUAGGCGGCAUUUGCUUUGCCUACUGCAAGAGAAGCCCCGUAUCAAAUGCUAUUAGUACAGUAUUUUAUUUAAUCUGAAUAACAGACCACCUGAUAGUUACCAUCGGUCAUAUUUUACAGUGUAAAGAAGCAUGUCUCAGAGAUAAGAAUAGUUUUGUUUUCAUUUUUGUUUUGUUUUGUUUAAGUUACGCAGCCAGGGGUUGGUUGAACCGAGUCCAGAUUCAGCGUUGAUCAUUGCAGUGGGUAGUAUUCUCCCCAUUUUGCCAGCCUCUGCAGGGGACUGCAUUAGACCUUGAAUCGAAAAUAAUAACAGCAACGAACAAAAACAUGCCAGUGUCACUUAGUUUGAUAUUUUCUAUUCAAAAGUUGUUAACAUGUCGAAGAUACCAUUUUUUGCAGGGUGGAGUUUGCAGGAGAAAAAAUUGUCCUGAAGAGUAAAAGCAUCUCAAAAUGGAAUCACUGUUUGUUCCUUUUUCAUCUUAUCACGUGUGACCUGUCCAUACUCAUGUUCUGCAGGGAUACCAGAGGAGUAGGAAGUGUCCUCUGUUUCACCCAUUUGUUCCUCAGAACUGUUUCUGGAUAAAUUCUCUGUAAUUGUUUGCUUGUGGAUCAAAGUAUGAAUGGUUAUUGAGCUGCUUUGCACAGAUAGAAUCUAAGACCUUAGGAAAAUAGUGGGUUGGAUGUCGAAGUGUAUCACCCAUUGAUUGGCAUAAUAAUGGACUAAAAUCAUAACCGGGAAGUUUGGAAACAUGGAUUGAUACAGUGUUUUGCUCAGCUUGCAUCAUACAUAUAUGUGCUGAUGAGGGUAUCUGUCAUACAAAAGGCAUGCUUCGCCCAAAGGCAAAACAGUGGCAUCACAUUGUCCAACCUGCAGAUGCCUUCUUAGAGCAAGCAUCCUGUCUCAGACUGAUUUCUCAGUGUAUUUAAGGCUUCUGCUAUUUUCCAGAGCUGUGUUCUUUUUUUUUUUUUUUUGAGAAAGUGAAAGGCCCUCAUGAGGUGCAGAUUUCUGGGUUAGUAGGCCUCCCCUUUUCAUAGGGUCUUGAGAGUACCUGACCAUCUCUGCUGCACUUGGUAACUAAAUGAUGGGACAUUCAAGUGAUCUUGAAACAUGAAGCAGGUUAGAGAGACUUUCUUCAGGCGCUGUGUGGAGCAGGGGACACGUGCCUAAUGAUGGACCAGGGGACCCCUUCCAGUGCCUUUUCUCACCGUACGUCCUUUACUCACUGAAGGAGUGGUCCUUGAGCUACCUGUGUGCUUGACAUUAUCCACACACUUGGAAUAUAAAGUCACAGAAGACCUGGUCUUGUCCUCCAAGGGCUUACUGUCCAGGUGAGGAGACAAGACAGACACAUUUGUGUGUGAUAAGGGCUAUGAGAGCAGACGCAAGAGGUGUUGGGAUUAUAGACGUGUGACAGCCACGUGGAAAGGUGGCCUGAAGAGGCUUCCAAGCUGGUGAUACUUGACCUGGGAUUUGAAGGAUGAAGAAAGGCAACGUAGAUCAAAAGAGCAGGGGGAGUUGUUUCGCAUUAGAGCCCCUUGGAAAAAUUUUUAAGAAGUGCUGAUGCCUGGGAUCCACUACAGACCUUGUAUUUCAGAACGUCUGAAGUGCAGCCCAUGCAUGAAAUAUUUUUAGAGUUCCUAAGGCAAUUCACUUGGGAAGCCAUGGUGAAGACCCUUUGGAAGUUUCACUUAACACGCUAGCAUCUCCCUACCCAUCACGUGUCUGUUCUUCAAACCGACACACUUGCUUUGUAAACCUCUCACCUGGCAAUCCGGAGAAUGCCACCGAUACCUGUUAUGUCUGUGUCUGUUCUCUUCCCAUUGGGGGUCAAACCCUGCGUGUCCUAUCUGUUUCUAAGGUGUACAGGCCUGCUCAGGUUUUCCACAUGGCAGACGUGAAAUCAGCGUCUCCACGGUGACAAGAGUGAGCACAGUGUGCGCGUCAGUUGCUGGGACAGGAAUUGAGGCCACGCUCUUGGUGAAUCCGACUCUAACUUCCCAGGGGCGUGUGCGCUGUUCUUAGUAGUGUCUGUGAGAUUUUAGUGGGACUGCAGGUGGUUUUUUUUCAUGUCCUGGCGUUUCAUCAAAUUGUCUUUUCUGACGCUCAGAUUUUACUACUCCACCAAGGGAAAGAAUCCAAGUCCGUUGAAGUAUUAAAAAUUUUUUCCCAAUAUUAUUCAGUUGAGUGGGAAAAAGAUUUCAGAAUGCUUGUAUAUAUUAAAAAUGAAUUUUUUUUUAAAUGUAGAGGUGAUUUUAAUAAUCUCUUUAGUUUACAUUUGGGGAUGCAACUUAUGAUGCAUGUUCAUAAGCACUGUCAACACUUGACAUCCCUUGAUAAUGCUAUUUUAUCUGAGGUAGGUGUCUUUGGGUACUUUAUAAAAUCAAAUAUUUGUCAGAAACUCAGCAGAUUUGAAGAGUGAUACAGGCUAACUGACCCAAAAUAGAAAUUGUGAUAAUAUGACUUCUAACUUUGGUUCAGAAAUAGGUCAUAAUACAAAUUAAACUUCCCAAUAUGAUCUGGCUUUUCAGAAUUUUUUAAUAAAGUUGAUGAAAAGGUUUUUAUGGAGACUAGCUGAAGAAAAUUGAUCAUUAUUUAUUUAGCUAAAUGAAUGAUUUAAUGGCUAAUGAUUUCCAAAUCAAUAAUAUGGGCAGCUCUCCUAUGUGAAUUUAGUUCUGGAAUUAAAUUUAUCAUAGAGUGCUUUCCAGAGGCACUUAGUUUGCACAGAAUUAGUGCUUGGAGGCUUAUGCAUAGAUUUCAUCUGAUUUUGACUGUAUAACUUGUUUAGAAAAUGCAUUAUAUUCAAGAUUUUAGAGCCAGCAUUGCAAAUUAAAUUCAUAUACACUUUUAAAUGUAAGGCAGGCUUCCCCCCCCACCGCCCCCCAUAUACCUUAAUGGUACAGUAAAAUCACGCCGACUCAGUCUGUAGUCAUCAUGACACCUGGUGAAUCCCAGUGAGACCUUUUGGGAUCAGUCUACUUCACAUCCUCACUGAUAAUUUUGUCGAAUGUUCUUCAGUGGCUUCAGAUUCAAAGACUGAGCAGCUUCCUGUAUGUGGGGUUUGAUUUUCACUUUGCAGAAGUCCUGGAGUCUCCAUGCCGCCUAGAAGGUUUUAAUGCCCAGAGGCGUGACUUCAUGUAACCCUAAUUACCAUCCCGAGGCCCCAUCUCCAAAUACCGUCACACUAGGGAUUGCGGUUUCAACAAAUAAAUUUCAAGGGAGCACAGACAGUUUGUUCACAACACUGUCUUUACAAAUUAGCUACUUCUCUGAGUGUAGGUGAUUUACAUUAGCUUUCUAAGCCCGUGUAGAAAGCAGGAUAACACUGUCUCCUUUGGGGGGUUUUUGUGAUGCAAAAAGAAUUAGAGCUAAUUCAUGCAAAGCGUCUUUCUCAUAUCUGGCUUGUUGGAGCAGAUAUUUUAAAAAUUAUAGGUAUUUUUGUUUUAUACUAAUAAUUAUUGCUGGGUAAAGAAAUGGCAUGAAUGCAGGCAGAGAGUUUGCAUAUAAAUCAUUAGAGAUUCAGACUAAUUUAGCUGGUGUGUAGGACAGGGAUAAUACCAGUUAAAACUGUAAAUUAAGGUUGGCCCAUAUUUAUCGAGACCUUGAACAUCAAAUAAAAUUUAAUUUUCAUUCUUCAGGAAAUGGGAAACCAUUGAAGAGCUGCAUAUCUGCAUUGCAUUUGUGUAUAUGUGUGUUUUAAGCUGUUGAGACACGAUUACACUGAUGCUUGAUGAAAAAUAACAAGGGGUUAGUAUGAAAGUAUGGUUUUAAAAUGGAUUGGAAUGGAUUGGAAGGCAUCAAGUAGGGUUGAAAGAUUCCAGUUUUUAAAGGAGAGUGUGUGGCAGUGGAAGUAGAAAGUCUGUGGGAAUGAGUUCUUGGGAAAUGAAUCAGCCUGCUUGGGUGGCUGACGGUUGGAAGCAGGGGAGAGGGUGAAGUCCAGGGUGACUCUGGGAUUUUGUGUUUUGCUAACUGGAAGAAUAGUGCACCCUUUUCAGAAAUAUGAAUGAUACCGAGGAGAGAAUUAGGAACGUGGGGGGAUAUUUGAGUGGCAGUGUCACAAUAACCGGUCGGUAAUAUAAGUCGUAGGAAACGGAUCAGGGCUCUAGAGAUAAAGAUUAGGAAAGUACUGAGGUAUGAGCUGAAAUGAAGAACACGGCUGAGUUCUCCUGGGAAGAGAGCGUGAAGUGGAGUUGACAGGGAGGGAUGAAAUAGUCUAACUGAAUUCCCACAGUCAGCGGUCGAGGAGAAGGCGAUCUGGUGACGUGGACACGGAGGAGGGUCAUUUGAGGACAGCUGCGGGGAACCCUGUGACCCUGAAAGCCAAGGAGGGACCAGGUGGCAGUGCCUUGUGGUUCGGCGAGAUCUGAGAGACGAUGGCGAGGCCUGCAGAGUGGGUUAGAAGGGAGAGCUCCCAAGGGAGGAACCUUUUUUCCCCAAGACCGGUGUGAUUUACUUAUGUGUUGGCACAGGACCGGUAGAAAGGGACUUUCUUUUUUGUUGACUGAGGAAAACCGCGAGCUUCUUCCACAGACAGGUUGGGAGGAGCAGCUAAGUGAGGGUUGGGUCCCAGUGAGAAGAGGCUGAGUAACAGCAGGGAUGGCAGAAGGGCACCCGCUACUCGGGUGUGUGCAUGUCUGCUCUUGUCGUCCUGCUGCAGUCCAUCUCCACGCCUAAAUGCAGCAGCUAAUUCAUUAACAAGUAUGAUUUGGGGGCGCCCGGGUGGCUCAGUCAGUUGAGUGUCUGACUUCGGCUCAGGUCAUGAUCUUGCAGUUCGUGGGUUCGAGCCCCGCAUCGGGCUCUGUGCUGAUGGCUCGGAGCCUGGAGCCUCUUCAGAUUCUGUGUCUCCCUCUUCCUCUGCCCCUUCCCCGCUCGUGCUCUGUCUCUCUCUCUCUC